GACCCGCUUCCGCCCCGCAGGACCCGCCGCCGCGGUCAUGAGUCGCUUUAAGUUUAUAGAUAUUGGUAUCAACUUGACAGAUCCUAUGUUCAGAGGGAUUUAUAGGGGAGUUCAAAAACAUCCAGGUGAUACUUAGUGAAAGCUCUGAAUAUAGGGAGUGUUAGAUGCCACUUGAAAGAAGAAAGAUGACUUAGAGGAUAUAAUACAGAGAGCUGUCCAGAUUGGUGUAAAAAAGGUAACUCAGUUUUGUUACUCUUGAGAGCUUUUAAUAAUAAGUUCUGGUUAAAAUACUGCAGAAUAGAAGGGAAAGAGCCAUUGCCACACUUGGUAUUUGGAGAUAUACUGUCAACAUAGUGACAUUAGUAAGUUAAUGAAAUGAAAUGUCAAGAUAUUCUCUUCAAAGCAAUUUAAUUGACACAGACCUUAUGGGUAGUUCUUCCAUGUGAUCAGAAAUAAUGAUAAAUGACAAGGUCUCCGAAAAUUUUUUAAAAACGUAUGUGAAAUAGCAAGCUUCUUUUAAUAACAUCAUUUAGCAUGUUAGAAUUAAGUGGUCAUAAAAAGACAUGUAUCUCUCUCUAAGUUUAGCUUUUAUGGUGUAGGUAUACCAUUUAUGACCGAGAGGAUACUUUUAUUUUCAAAAUGAUGAUUUGA